CUAUUUGCAUGAGACUCUUGACACUGACGUUAGGAUGAACACCAUCACCUAGUUUAUUCUAGCAGAGCUAUCCCAUGGAAAAUAGGACUCUGAUAAUAAGCUAAGUUUCCUGUGAAGAGGAAGGGAAAUGCCACAACAAAGGUCUAUCAGGCGCAUACGCACAAAGCACUGAACAGCCAACAUACAGUGGGUUCAGAGAGGAGAAAGGAUGCACCUUGGCUAUUUACAAGUCAACAGCAGUCAUUCAAAUUCAACACACCAGGUUUUUUUAAAAAAUAUGAUUUCCUACUUAGAUUUAUUUUUCCUUUAAUAACACAGUUUAGCAUUUCAGAGUUCGGCAUUCUACACUCUUACACACUGUCCUUGUUUAUUAGCAUUUAAACACAAAAAGACAUAGCAAGACCUCCAAACACAAAUAAAUACAAAAACACAAUAUACAAUAAACUGAAAUACAACAUAUAAUAAUGCUAUUGGGAAAUUAAGACAUGUUGCUAAUUCCUUUUUUUUUAUUAUUAUUUUAACAACAUGGUUAUUGCUGAGCAAUAAAUUAUACAUUUUAAAGUUGUUUUCCCCCCUAAAAGAAAAGGACGAGAACCACUGGUUACCAGAUCACUUGCACUGUAUCCUUACAGCUAUUGAUAAUUAAGACAGGCAGAAUAUACACAAUCAAAUGAGGUUGGCCUUCUUUGGUCUUUGUUUUUGAUCAUAAAACUGAAAAAAAUAUAUAAACCAAACAACAGCUAUAAGAAAAACAAAAUAGGUGGAUCACAUGACGCAUCAGCAACAAUGGAAGCUUGUACCUUCCCAUUCCACAAGUACAGAUUAUACAACUCUCUGCCAGUGACGCAGGUCAUAGUUGGAAGAUGUGUCCUUUCAUAUGUGAGCUAUAUUCAAAUCCAAAGCUCACAACACUAUGCAAGAAAAUGACCUUUACGAAUGAUAAUGCUGGUUUAUCUCAGUAACCCUUAGACAGAGUCAAAUUUUAUCACUACGCAUCACACUGCCAGCAAUGGAGCGUGUGAACACCGGCAUUGCUAAGAAGUUAAAAAGUCCUUGCAGAACUGGCAACCAAAUUAAAAGCUUAGUUCCAAAGGACCAAAAACACAAACACCACAUAGAGACAAGAAACCCUCCCCUAAAUGGGUAGGUUAGUAAGCCACAGAGUUGGGAUCCAGAUUUGAAUUCCACAUCAAGUCUGGGAUGUUUGGAUCCAGGAUUUUGGUUCAGGUGCUUCUCUGUGAAAUUCAGAACUUAUUCGAACCCUAAGGAACUAAUCCUAACUUGGAGGGAAAAAACCUAAACAAACACAGCCUAGUAUCUACACUAAGAUCAUGAAAUGGAAGACAGAAGCUGCAGUCUUGACCACAAAUUAGAAGAGAAAUAGGAAUAGUCAGAUCCCUUACACAUUGUAUAUCUCUA
rnacentral:lncRNA from 1 species